rnacentral:rRNA from 1 species
CCUACGGGAGGCAGCAGUGAGGAAUAUUGGUCAAUGGACGAGAGUCUGAACCAGCCAAGUAGCGUGAAGGAUGACUGCCCUAUGGGUUGUAAACUUCUUUUAUAUGGGAAUAAAACGUUCCACGUGUGGGAUUUUGUAUGUACCAUAUGAAUAAGGAUCGGCUAACUCCGUGCCAGCAGCCGCGGUCAUACGGAGGAUCCGAGCGUUAUCCGGAUUUAUUGGGUUUAAAGGGAGCGUAGGUGGAUUGUUAAGUCAGUUGUGAAAGUUUGCGGCUCAACCGUAAAAUUGCAGUUGAAACUGGCAGUCUUGAGUACAGUAGAGGUGGGCGGAAUUCGUGGUGUAGCGGUGAAAUGCUUAGAUAUCACGAAGAACUCCGAUUGCGAAGGCAGUUCACUGGACUGCAACUGACACUGAGGCUCGAAAGUGUGGGUAUCAAACAGGAUUAGAUACCCUAGUAGUC